GCGCAAGGGGUUUUUGUUGGUUCCCGAAGGCAUGUCCUUUGGGCGAAGAGGGAAUGUGAUACAGGUCGUCCAUCGGCCCGAAGCACAGCCGCCCCCGCGACCGUGACCGGAGAGGUCUCCAGACGCCACUGGCACCGCCCAGGCCUUCAGGCCGCCGGGCAUGGGCCGGGAAGGCGGGAAGACCGUCAGCGCCACCCCUGGCUCUGGCAUCCGCAAGCCGGGAGACCUGCCAACGGAUGACGUGAACC
rnacentral:ncRNA from 2 species